rnacentral:lncRNA from 1 species
GCAACAGCAAGCACCAGCCCCUGGAGCUGGUUUCCAGGAGGGCUCAGGGAUUGGCGGCAUGAUGGGCAGGCUCCAGCAUGGCUGCAGACGCAGGGGCUGCCUGACGGGCUGGGCAUGGGGAUGUGGCUCAAUGCACCCAAAAUGCCUGGAAUCAGAGGGAGUGAGACAGGGAGGAUGCAUGAGCAAGAGAAGCCAACUUCAGGGGCAUGCAUACUGUGAUACCCUCAGUGGUUUCUUUUACAAUGUGUUCUGCUCCAGCCAGGGAAUUUUAUUUAACUGA